rnacentral:rRNA from 1 species
UGAACCAGCCAAGUAGCGUGCAGGAUGACGGCCCUAUGGGUUGUAAACUGCUUUUAUGUGGGAAUAAAGUGGCGCACGUGUGCGCCAUUGCAUGUACCUCAUGAAUAAGGACCGGCUAAUUCCGUGCCAGCAGCCGCGGUAAUACGGAAGGUCCGGGCGUUAUCCGGAUUUAUUGGGUUUAAAGGGAGUGUAGGCGGUCUGUUAAGCGUGUUGUGAAAUUUAGGUGCUCAACAUUUAACUUGCAGCGCGAACUGUCAGACUUGAGUACACGCAGCGCAGGCGGAAUUCAUGGUGUAGCGGUGAAAUGCUUAGAUAUCAUGAGGAACUCCGAUCGCGAAGGCAGCCUGCGGGAGUGUUACUGACGCUUAAGCUCGAAGGUGCGGGUAUCGAACAGGAUUAGAUACCCUGGUAGUCCGCACAGUAAACGAUGGAUGCCCGCCGUUGGCGCCCUGCGCCUGCGGCCAAGCGAAAGCAUUAAGCAUCCCACCUGGGGAGUACGCCGGCAACGGUGAAACUCAAAGGAAUUGACGGGGGCCCGCACAAGCGGAGGAACAUGUGGUUUAAUUCGAUGAUACGCGAGGAACCUUACCCGGGCUUGAAUUGCAGUCGCUGCCCACAGAGACGUGGGCUUCCCUUCGGGGCGUCUGUGAAGGUGCUGCAUGGUUGUCGUCAGCUCGUGCCGUGAGGUGUCGGCUUAAGUGCCAUAACGAGCGCAACCCCCUUUCCCAGUUGCCAUCGGGUCAUGCCGGGCACUCUGGGGACACUGCCA